CAAGUGUCGUAAGGGCAUUUGGUGGAUGCCUUGGCAUGCACAGGCGAAGAAGGACGUGAUACGCUGCGAUAAGCCGUGGGGAGCUGCGAAUGAGCUUUGAUCCAUGGAUCUCCGAAUGGGGCAACCCACCUUAGAUGCUUGGGAAUCUGAUGCGCCAGAGGCGCAUGAGGCAGUAGGAUUUAGGCAAUGGGCAAUAGUGGAAACAUUAUUGGCUACUGCCUACUGGCUAUUGCCUGCGUCGAAGACGCUCAGGUUCCAAGCAUUGUGAUAAGGUAUCUACACCUGAAUACAUAGGGUGUUAGAAGCGAACGCAGGGAACUGAAACAUCUAAGUACCUGCAGGAAAGGACAUCAACCGAGACUCCGCAAGUAGUGGCGAGCGAACGCGGACCAGGCCAGUGGCAAUCAGGAAUAAAGCCGAACACG
rnacentral:rRNA from 1 species